rnacentral:lncRNA from 1 species
CCCAAGUAAUAUAAAUAAUAGAGUCCAAACAAUAUGUAUUAGCCCAAUUGAAAACAAUAUAAGUAAGGCCCAAAGAAAUAAAAUAAAAAGCUUCAGCCGAAAUGUUGGCCCAACAAAACAUUCGAACCCCCAAUUCAUCUCCCUCAAACUCGUCUCUUUCUCUCUCAAACAGACGCUGCCCUCUCUUUCUCUCUCAAUAAUUCACGCCAUCUCCUCCCUCGAAUCGCCGCCGCGGCUCCUCCUCACACGAAUCGCACACACACCAGUCACCGGGAACACCCCUCGCCCCUCACUUCUUGUUUCCUCCGGCGAAGGACCGCCGGUCAGUCAUCUCCCUCUUCUCACUCGAUUUGGGUCUCGAUCCGCCGCUGUCU